AGUUUAGAGAAACCAUAGUGAACAAAAUACAUUUUCCAUGGUGCCAAAUGAAGGCCUAAUGACUGAGGAACUCAAUGAUUUUGCUCCAAGAUAGACAUCUAAAUAGACAAACUGAAUCACUGUACUUCCCAUCCCUUCCUCCACCAGGGUGACUUUCUUUUGAAAACUGCUGAGUCAAAAGCAAUUCAAUUGCACUAUGCAAAUGAACUCCAAAUUUAUGG
rnacentral:lncRNA from 1 species